rnacentral:rRNA from 1 species
AUUGAACGCUGGCGGCAGGCCUAACACAUGCAAGUCGAGCGGAUGAAGGGAGCUUGCUCCUGGAUUCAGCGGCGGACGGGUGAGUAAUGCCUAGGAAUCUGCCUGGUAGUGGGGGAUAACGUCCGGAAACGGGCGCUAAUACCGCAUACGUCCUGAGGGAGAAAGUGGGGGAUCUUCGGACCGCACGCUAUCAGAUGAGCCUAGGUCGGAUUAGCUAGUUGGUGGGGUAAAGGCCUACCAAGGCGACGAUCCGUAACUGGUCUGAGAGGAUGAUCAGUCACACUGGAACUGAGACACGGUCCAGACUCCUACGGGAGGCAGCAGUGGGGAAUAUUGGACAAUGGGCGAAAGCCUGAUCCAGCCAUGCCGCGUGUGUGAAGAAGGUCUUCGGAUUGUAAAGCACUUUAAGUUGGGAGGAAGGGCAGUAAGUUAAUACCCUGCUGUUUUGACGUUACCAACAGAAUAAGCACCGGCUAACUUCGUG